rnacentral:rRNA from 1 species
ACGGAAGGCAGCAGUGGGGAAUUUUGCGCAAUGGGGGAAACCCUGACGCAGCGACGCCGCGUGCGGGAUGAAGGCCUUCGGGUUGUAAACCGCUUUCAGUAGGGAAGAUAAUGACGGUACCUACAGAAGAAGCUCCGGCUAAAUACGUGCCAGCAGCCGCGGUAAUACGUAUGGAGCAAGCGUUAUCCGGAUUCAUUGGGCGUAAAGCGCGCGUAGGCGGCUUGUUAAGUCAGGUGUUAAAUCCUGGGGCUCAACCCCAGUCCGCACCUGAAACUGGCAGGCUUGAGUACGGUAGGGGAAAGUGGAAUUCCCAGUGUAGCGGUGAAAUGCGCAGAUAUUGGGAAGAACACCGGUGGCGAAGGCGGCUUUCUGGGCCGUUACUGACGCUGAGGCGCGAAAGCUAGGGGAGCAAACAGGAUUAGAUACCCUGGUA